rnacentral:rRNA from 1 species
AUUGAACGCUGACGGCAGGCCUAACACAUGCAAGUCGCACUAGUGGCGGACGGGUUAGUAAUGUCUGGGAAAAUGCCCGAUGGAGGGGGAUAACUACUGGAAACGGUAGCUCAUACCGCAUACCAUCGGAUGUUCCCAGAUGGGAUUAGCUAGUAGGUGGGGUAACGGAUCACCUAGGCGACGAUCUCUAGCUGGUCUGAGAGGAUGACCAGCCACACGUGAACUGAGACACGGUCCAGACUCCUACGUGAGGCAGCAGUGGGAAAUAUUGCACAAUGGGCGCAAGCCGGAUGCAGCCAUGCCGCGUGUAUGAAGAAGGCCUUCGGGUUGUAAAGUACUUUCAGCGAGGAGGCGUUACUCGCAGAAGAAGCACCGGCUAACUCCGUGCCAGCAGCCGCGGUAAUUC